GCAAUUAAGAUUCAAAAUAUUCUCUCCCGAAGCACAAUUCAAAAUUGCUGGUUUUUCCACUUUCCCUUUCUUAUUUUUGUACAGAUCUAUGUAUGUGCGCGUGUUUUCCCCUGACUUUUGCAUUUUGUCGAGCAUUUGGCAUGGUAGACUCUGCAUAAUUUGUUUUAUUCAAAUUCUAGAAGAUUGGACAAUUGUUGUUGUCAUUUGAGGUGUUGGGAGUAUUUGAGGUGUUGGGAGUAAUCUCCUCAUCAACAGAAAUUAUUUUGUAGUGAUUUUGGUCAAUUUGGUUGACCGGAACUCCAUUUUCAGCCACCUGGUGCUCAUCAGAGAGUUAUAGAGGUUUGGAGACG
rnacentral:lncRNA from 1 species